rnacentral:rRNA from 1 species
AUUGCAUAUCAAUAAGCGGAGGAAAAGAAACCAACAGGGAUUGCCUUAGUAGCGGCGAGUGAAGCGGCAAAAGCUCAAAUUUGAAAUCUGGCUCCUUCAGAGUCCGAGUUGUAAUUUGAAGAAGGUAUCUUUGGGUCUGGCUCUUGUCUAUGUUUCUUGGAACAGAACGUCACAGAGGGUGAGAAUCCCGUGCGAUGAGAUGAUCCAGGCCUAUGUAAAGUUCCUUCGAAGAGUCGAGUUGUUUGGGAAUGCAGCUCUAAGUGGGUGGUAAAUUCCAUCUAAAGCUAAAUAUUGGCGAGAGACCGAUAGCGAACAAGUACAGUGAUGGAAAGAUGAAAAGAACUUUGAAAAGAGAGUGAAAAAGUACGUGAAAUUGUUGAAAGGGAAGGGCUUGAGAUCAGACUUGGUAUUUUGUAUGUUACUUCUUCGGGGGUGGCCUCUACAGUUUAUCGGGCCAGCAUCAGUUUGGGCGGUAGGAGAAUUGCGUUGGAAUGUGGCACGGCUUCGGUUGUGUGUUAUAGCCUUCGUCGAUACUGCCAGCCUAGACUGAGGACUGCGGUUUAUACCUAGGAUGUUGGCAUAAUGAUCUUAAGUCGCCCGUCUUGAAACACGGACCAAUC